rnacentral:rRNA from 1 species
AUGCGGUAUGACGGUACCCUUUCGAAUAAGAGGUUGCUAACUCUGUGCCAGCAGCAGCGGUAAUACAGAGACCUCGAGCGUUAUCCGGAUUUACUGGGCGUAAAGCGUCUGUAGGGGGUUUGUUAAGUUCCAAGUAAAAUCUUAAGGCUCAACUUUAAGUUCGCUUGGAAAACUAAUAAACUGGAGUCCAGCAGAGGUGCAUGGAACUUGCGGUGUAGGAGUGAAAUCCGUUGAUAUCGCAAGGAACACCAAAGGCGAAGGCAUUGCACUGGGCUGGUACUGACCCUGAGAGACGAAAGCGUGGGGAGCAAAACGGAUUAGAUACCCGUGUAGUCCACGCCGUAAACGAUGGAUACUAGAUGUUCGGGGAUUCGACCCCCUGGGUGUCACAGCUAACGCGUUAAGUAUCCCGCCUGGGAAGUACGGCCGCAAGGCUAAAACUCAAAGGAAUAGACGGGGAUCCGCACAAGCGGUGGAGCGUCUGGUUUAAUUUGAUAGUAAGCAAUGGACCUCACCAAGGUUUGACAUCCUAUGACAACCCUGGAAACAGGGCUUCCUUCGGGCAUAGUGACAGGUGCUGCAUGGUCGUCGUCAGUUCGUGCCGUGAGGUGUUCCGUUAAGUCGGGAAACGAACGAAACCCUCGUCGCAUGUUACAAAUUUCAUGCGAGACUGCCCGGGUCAACCGGGAGGAAGGCGGGGAUGACGUCAGAUCAGCAUGGCCCUUAUACCUUGGGCUACACAGGCGCUACAAUGGCCGGUACAAAGGGUUGCAAAACCGCGAGGUGAAGCUAAUCCCAUAAAGCCGGUCCAAGUUCGGAUUGGAGGCUGCAACUCGCCUCCAUGAAGUUGGAAUCGCUAGUAAUCGUGGAUCAGCCAUACCACGGUGAGUACGUUCCCGGAUCUUGUACUCACCGCCCGUCACACCAAGAGAGUUGGUAGCUCC